GCAGCCGCGGUAAUACGUAGGGGGCAAGCGUUAUCCGGAUUUACUGGGUGUAAAGGGAGCGUAGACGGCAGGGCAAGUCCGAUGUGAAAACCCGGGGCUCAACCGCGGGAUUGCAUUGGAAACUGCUCAGCUCGAGUACUGGAGGGGUAAGCGGAAUUCCUAGUGUAGCGGUGAAAUGCGUAGAUAUUAGGAGGAACACCGGCGGCGAAGGCGGCUUACUGGACAGUAACUGACGUUGAGGCUCGAAAGCGUGGGGAGCAAACAGGAUUAGAUACCCC
rnacentral:rRNA from 1 species